GGUAAACAGGUAAGUACUUGGUAAUUAGGAUCUGUUGAAUGGUAAACAGGUAUGUACUGGGUAAUUAGCAUCUGUUGAAUGGUAAACAGGUAUGUACUGGGUAAUUAGGAUCUGUUGAAUGGUAAACAGGUAUGUACUGGGUAAUUAGGAUUUGUUGCAUGAU